rnacentral:rRNA from 1 species
UACGGAGGGUGCAAGCGUUAUCCGGAUUCACUGGGUUUAAAGGGUGCGUAGGUGGGUUGGUAAGUCAGUGGUGAAAUCUCCAGGCUCAACUUGGAAACUGCCAUUGAUACUAUUAAUCUUGAAUACCUGGAGGUCAGCGGAAUAUGUCAUGUAGCGGUGAAAAUGCUUAGAUAUGACAUAGAACACCAAUUGCGAAAGGCAGCUGGCUACACGAAUAUUGACACU